GGCUGCUGGUUUGAAAUAGGGCUGGAGGCUGGGGAAUCACAAGUAGCCCUUGGGUGGUUGGAGAGCAGUGAGGCUGGGCUGCUGCGACCUGGCGGGGCUGGAGGCGGCGAGCGUGUCCGGCGGUGGUGCCAGCCGUCCCAGGGGCUGCACCGCCACCUGCUGAGCGGCUGGGGCAGUCCUGGGUCCUAUACUGCGGGACUCAGGCGCGGGGCCCGGCGCGGCCCGCAGCAAGUGGGAAGGAGUGACACGGCAGUGUGUGCGCAGGUGAGCGCAGGCUCGGUGCUCCCCGGCGCGCCCGCCCUUCCCGCCAGGGAGUUGAGUGCCCGGGUAAACACCAGGCGCGGUGCGCGCGGUGUAUCCACGGAGAGACAAAGCCAGGGCGGGGCGGGGGCGCCGCCCGCGAAGCCGGGGCGGGGGCGCGGGGUGCAGAUUGGUCUCCCCUGGCUCGGGUUGCCCCACCGCCCGGGAGCCCCGAGCCCGGCUCGCGGACAGGUGGAGCGGGGGGCGGGGCGGCGGCCGGGCGGGUCCCGCCCCGGGGGUGGGGCCGGGCGGGGCGGGCGGGGCGGGGCCGCGCUAUGCAAAUGUCGCCCACGGGCGGCCAAUUGCCGGCGCUCCCCGCGCGGCUCCGAGCGCCCCGUCCCGCCGGCGGCCGCGAGACCAGAGCGAGCUAGCGAGCGAACGGCCGCGGUCAGGCCAGCCCCGAGCGCAGCGCAGGGCCAGGGCGCGCCGCGAGCAGCGGCGCAGCCCAGCGCGGCCGCCCGGCCCCAGGCCAGCCAGCAGGCGAGCACCGCCGGGCCGAGCCAAGCGCAGCGCCCCGGAGCCGAGCGCGCGCCGUCGCCCGCGCCCCGCGCCGGGGAAUGCGCCCUCGGCGCGCCGGCCAGGGGGCGCCCGCAGCCCACCCGGGGGGAGGCGGCCCCGAGCGCCCCUGAGCCUUCCCAUGGCCCGGGCUGGGGCCCGGGGCCUCGGCUGCUGACGCGCCCGAAGCCCGGGGAACCCGUUAAAGCCGGGCCGCGGCGUCGACCCCGGCUCAGGCACAGAGGCGAGAGGGCGCGGGCAGGGCCAUGGCCCCGGGGGGCCGCUAGCGCUGGCCGGCCCGACCCGGAGCCGCUCAGCCGCCGCCGCCGCCGCCGCCCCCGCCGCCCGGGAGCCCAGGCCCCGCCGCCGCGGAGGAGGUGA
rnacentral:lncRNA from 1 species